CCAACUCUGAGUCGCAAAUGCUUAUUUCACAAGAAUGUCAUCGCCCCCUAGUGGUGAAGACCCCAUUCCCCCGGGAAGUCCUGCAGCCUCCCCUGCUAGUAAAUCUACUUGUUACUUAUUUCUUUGCCUUGGCUGGCGGAGGAUCAGGAAAAACCAUGGUUUACAGAAACCAGAAGCCAAACUGGGCUUUUGUUGAUCCCGUUGCCUGGCGGACUAUUUAAUAUCGAAGAGACAUUGAUUGAAUCCAGCUGGAUCACUUUUACAGGAAGGAACCCCUUAGAGGGUAGAGUCCGCUUCAUUUCUAGUGCUUGGCACAUUUCAUUGAAUAAAUUGCUGAUUGAUCAAUCGAUUGAUUGAUCGAUUAUAUAAAGAGUAUCAUAGAGCUUCGGGCAGAAACGACCUCGGAAGAAUGUAGCCCAGAUCCCUCAGGGUCCCAAUGAAGCAAAUGGUUCCCUCGCACAUGACGCCAGGUCCCCAUUUCUCGCCCUCUCCCCUCUCCUUCCUGCCCCAGACUCUGAGACCCGGAGACGCGUUCCUGAGGAGCAGAGAAAUUACUCCAAGAAAAAGGGUCCACAAAUGUAGUGGGGAGUCCCAUUGUGAGAAUUCCCUUUCCCCAGACAGAUGGCAGCCCAUCUCUAACCUACCAGAGAACCCUAGAAAGUUGUGUGAAGACUUCUAAUGGGCUCAGCCCUCUCUACACAUCUAUCUAUCUAUCUAUCUAUCUAUCUAUCUAUCUAUCUAUCUAUCUAUCUAUCUAUCUGUCUGUCUGUCUGUCUGUCUGUCUGUCUGUCUGUCUGUCUGUCUGUCUAUCUAUCAGUGGAUGGAGAUGCUUUUGUGAUGAGCAAAACACAGAUUUUAAAUGUAUGCUAAUUGGAUUGUCAAUUAAAUUCUCAGUCUCUUGCCAUU